rnacentral:rRNA from 1 species
UACGUAGGGCGCAAGCGUUGUCCGGAAUUAUUGGGCGUAAAGAGCUCGUAGGCGGUUUGUCGCGUCUGUCGUGAAAGCUUGGGGCUUAACCCCAAGUCUGCGGUGGAUACGGGCAGACUAGAGGCAGGUAGGGGAGAACGGAAGUCCCGGUGUAGCGGUGAAAUGCGCAGAUAUCGGGAGGAACACCGGUGGCGAAGGCGGUUCUCUGGGACGGUACUGACGCUGAGACGCGAAAGCGUGGGGAGCGAACAGG